rnacentral:rRNA from 1 species
GUCUGCGGCCGAUUAGGUAGUUGGUUAGGUAACGGCUUACCAAGCCAUUGAUCGGUACGGGUUGUGAGAGCAAGAGCCCGGAGAUGGAACCUGAGACAAGGUUCCAGGCCCUACGGGGUGCAGCAGGCGCGAAACCUCCGCAAUGUGAGAAAUCGCGACGGGGGGAUCCCAAGUGCCAUUCUUAACGGGAUGGCUUUUCAUUAGUGUAAAGAGCUUUUGGAAUAAGAGCUGGGCAAGACCGGUGCCAGCCGCCGCGGUAACACCGGCAGCUCUAGUGGUAGCAAUUUUUAUUGGGCCUAAAGCGUCCGUAGCCGGUUUAAUAAGUCUCUGGUGAAAUCCUGUAGCUUAACUGUGGGAAUUGCUGGAGAUACUAUUAGACUUGAGACCGGGAGAGGUUGGAGGUACUCCCAGGGUAGAGGUGAAAUUCUGUAAUCCUGGGAGGACCGCCUGUUGCGAAGGCGUCUAACUGGAACGGUUCUGACGGUGAGGGACGAAAGUUAGGGGCGCGAACCGGAUUAGAUACCCGGGUAGUCCUAACUGUAAACGAUGCGGACUUGGUGUUGGGGUGGCUUUGAGCUGC